rnacentral:rRNA from 1 species
CCUACGGGUGGCAGCAGUGAGGAAUAUUGGUCAAUGGUCGGGAGACUGAACCAGCCACGCCGCGUGAGGGAGGAAGGUACAGAGUAUCGUAAACCUCUUUUGUCAGGGAACAAAGGCGGGGACGUGUCCCCGGAUGAGUGUACCUGACGAAAAAGCAUCGGCUAACUCCGUGCCAGCAGCCGCGGUAAUACGGAGGAUGCGAGCGUUAUCCGGAUUUAUUGGGUUUAAGGGGUGCGCAGGCGGUCUGUUAAGUCAGCGGUCAAAGCACGGGGCUCAACCCCGGCCCGCAGUGGAAACUGGCAGUCUCGAGUGGGAGAGAGGUAUGCGGAAUGCGCGGUGUAGCGGUGAAAUGCAUAGAGAUCGCGAAGAACUCCGGUGGCGAAGGCAGCAUGCCGGCUCCACACUGACGCUGAGGUACGAAAGCGUGGGGAUCGAACAGGAUUAGAUACCCUAGUAGUC